GAGAUCAUCGUAUAAUGGCUAUUACCUCAGCCUUCCAAGCUGAUGAUGCGGGUUCGAUUCCCGCUGACCUCUCCA
rnacentral:tRNA from 1 species